rnacentral:rRNA from 1 species
AACCUGGUUGAUCCUGCCAGUAGUCAUAUGCUUGUCUCAAAGAUUAAGCCAUGCAUGUGUAAGUAUAAGCCCUUGAACGGCGAAACUGCGAAUGGCUCAUUAAAACAGUUAUCGUUUCUUUGAUGACCAAUUGCUACUUGGAUAACUGUAGUAAUUCUAGAGCUAAUACAUGCGGAUGCCUUUCGGGGCUAGCGUUUAUUAGAUACAAAGCCAACAUUUCCUUUUGGAAAUUCUGGUGAUUCAUAAUAACCAAGCGAAUCGGUCUUUUGACCGAUGCAUCUUUCAAGUUUCUGACCUAUCAGCUAUUGACGGUAGGGUAUUGGCCUACCGUGGCGAUGACGGGUGACGGGGGAUCAGGGUUCGAUUCCGGAGAGGGAGCCUGAGAAACGGCUACCACAUCUAAGGAUGGCAGCAGGCGCGCAAAUUACCCAAUCCUGACACAGGGAGGUAGUGACAAGAAAUAACAAUACAGGGCUUUUAGUCUUGUAAUUGGAAUGAGUGGAUGUUAAAUCUAUCCACGAGUAUCAAUUGGAGGGCAAGUCUGGUGCCAGCAGCCGCGGUAAUUCCAGCUCCAAUAGCGUAUAUUAAAGUUGUUGCGGUUAAAAAGCUCGUAGUUGGAUUUCUGUCUCUGGGAGAGCCGCCGACCUCACGGUCCGUGCGUUGUUCGACCAAGACAUCCUCCAGCAAGUGCCUCACGGCGCCGCUGGACUAUUACUUUGAGGAAAUUAGAGUGUUUCAAGCAGGCACAUGCCUUGAAUACAUUAGCAUGGAAUAAUAAUCUAGGACUUCGGUUCUAUUUU